ensembl:snoRNA SNORD22 Small nucleolar RNA SNORD22
UCCCAGUGAAGAAACAUUUACACGUCUUACCUCUUGUCCUAGUUUCAGAUGCUGUAAAGAUGAACCCACGGGGGCUGGCUGGGGAAAAAAAGGAAAGCUUGUUUCAGAAGGAACUGUCCAAGCAAU